rnacentral:miRNA from 1 species
ACUUGGAGGAGGCCACUGGC